rnacentral:rRNA from 1 species
AGUGAACGCUGGCGGUAGGCCUAACACAUGCAAGUCGAACGGCAGCACAGUAAGAGCUUGCUCUUACGGGUGGCGAGUGGCGGACGGGUGAGGAAUACAUCGGAAUCUACUUUUUCGUGGGGGAUAACGUAGGGAAACUUACGCUAAUACCGCGUACGACCUACGGGUGAAAGCAGGGGAUCUUCGGACCUUGCGCGAUUGAAUGAGCCGAUGUCGGAUUAGCUAGUUGGCGGGGUAAAGGCCCACCAAGGCGACGAUCCGUAGCUGGUCUGAGUGGAUGAUCAGCCACACUGGAACUGAGACACGGUCCAGACUCCUACGGGAGGCAGCAGUGGGGAAUAUUGGACAAUGGGCGAAAGCCUGAUCCAGCCAUACCGCGUGGGUGAAGAAGGCCUUCGGGUUGUAAAGCCCUUUUGUUGGGAAAGAAAAGCAGCAGGUUAAUACCCCGCUGUUCUGACGGUACCCAAAGAAUAAGCACCGGCUAACUUCGUG